AGCAGCCGCGGUAAUUCCAGCUCCAAUAGCGUAUAUUAAAGUUGUUGCAGUUAAAAAGCUCGUAGUUGAAUUUCGAGAUCAAAUUGUUGGUCGUGCCUCGGUACGUACUGGCAUUAUUGAUUUCUCCCUUCUGAAGAACCACGAUGUCAUUAAUUUGGUGUCGUGGGGAAUCAGGACUGUUACUUUGAAAAAAUUAGAGUGUUUAAAGCAGGCUCACGCUUGAAUACAUUAGCAUGGAAUAAUGAAAUAGGACGUUUGAUUCUAUUUUGUUGGUUUCUAGGAUCGACGUAAUGAUUAAUAGGGAUAGUUGGGGGCAUUAGUAUUCAAUUGUCAGAGGUGAAAUUCUUGGAUUUAUUGAAGACUAACUACUGCGAAAGCAUUUGCCAAGGAUGUUUUCAUUAAUCAAGAACGAAAGUUAGGGGAUCGAAGACGAUCAGAUACCGUCGUAGUCUUAACCAUAAACUAUGCCGACUAGGGAUCGGAUGAUGUUAAUUUUUAAUGUA
rnacentral:rRNA from 1 species